UUAUGGCCAUAUCACGUUGAAGCGCCCGUUCUCGUACGAUCACUGAAGUUAAGCAAUGUCGAGCUUGGUCAAUAUCUAGAUGGAUGACCGCUUGGGAAUACCA